AUGCGUUCCUUCCCGCCCUUCUUGGGCACGACGACGGGGUUUGCCAGCCAUUCCGGGUAUCGGACUUCGCGGAUGACACCCGCCGCCUGUAGCUUGCGGGUUCCCUCGACGAUGAAGGACUGCUUCUCUGUGGACUGUCGUCGCGCCUUCUGCUUCACCGGGCGCACAUUGGGGCAUACCCUCAAGUGGUGCUCGAUUACUCCCUUGGGACCCGCACCAGCUGCUUGGGCUCCCAGGCGAAUACCUCCUUGUUCGCGCGCAGGAAUUUCACCAGUGCCUCUUCUUGUUCCGGGUCGAGGUUGGCGCCUAUGGUGA
rnacentral:rRNA from 1 species